rfam:Treponema pedis str. T A4, complete genome.
UUUUAACUGCCGAGUUUGCCUUUCGGCAAACGUCGGGAUUGUAUGCCGUUUUUCAGCUGCGCUUGCAAAACGGCGGAAAUUCUGCAAUCCUCAGAAUUUGAAAAUUCUUGCGGUUGCAGAAUUUAUAG